rnacentral:rRNA from 1 species
GAGUUUGAUCCUGGCUCAGAAUGAACGCUGGCGGCAGGCCUAACACAUGCAAGUCGAGCGCGCCUUCGGGUGAGCUUGCUUUGGGUUAGAAACCCGUGGGAACGUGCCCUUCUCUACGGAAUACCCUCUGGAAACGGAGAGUAAUACCGUAUACGCCCUUUGGGGGAAAGAUUUAUCGGAUAAGGAUCGGGCCGCGUUGGAUUAAGUAGUUGGUGGGGUAAUGGCCUACCAAGCCUACGAUCUAUAGGUGGUUUUUGAGGAUGAUCAGCAACCCUGGGACUGAGACACGGACCAGACUCCUACGGGAGGCAGCAGUGGGGAAUCUUAAGCAAUGGGGGCAACCCUGAUCUAGCCAUGCCGCGUGAGUGAUGAAGGCCUUGACGUCGUAAAGCUCUUUCGCCUGUGAUGAUAAUGACAGUAGCAGGUAAAGAAACCCCGGCUAACUCCCUGCCGACAGCCGCCGUAAUACGGAGGGGGUUAGCGUUGUUCCCAAUUACUGGCCGGAAAGCGCGCGUAGGCGGAUUAAAAAGUUGGGGGUGAAAUCCCGGGGUUCAACCUCAGAACUGCCUCCGAAACUGCUAGUCUAGAGUUCGAGAGACGUGAGUGGAAUUGCGAGUGUGCAGGUGAUAUUCAUAGAUAUUCGGACGUACACCAGUUGGCGAAGGCGGCUCUGUGGCUCGAUACUGACGCUGAGUUGCCAAAGUGUGCGAAGGAGACAGGGAUUAGAUACCCUGGUAGUCCACACCGUAGACGAUGAAUGCCAGUCAUCGAACAGUAUACUAUACCCUGACACACCUAACUGAUUACGAAGAUCACUCUGGUGAGUACUGUCGCCAGAGCAAAACUCAAAGUGAUUGACAGGCGCCCUCACGAGCACUGGAGCAUGUUUUUUACUUAGAAGCAUCGCGCAGAGCCUUAACAACCCGUGGACAUCAUGUGCUACAUUCAGAGAUGCAUGGUUCCCCUUCAGCGGACGCUUGA